UACGAAGGGGGCUAGCGUUGCUCGGAAUCACUGGGCGUAAAGGGUGCGUAGGCGGGUCUUUUAAGUCAGGGGUGAAAUCCUGGAGCUCAACUCCAGAACUGCCUUUGAUACUGAAGAUCUUGAGUUCGGGAGAGGUGAGUGGAACUGCGAGUGUAGAGGUGAAAUUCGUAGAUAUUCGCAAGAACACCAGUGGCGAAGGCGGCUCACUGGCCCGAUACUGACGCUGAGGCACGAAAGCGUGGGGAGCGAACAGG
rnacentral:rRNA from 1 species